GAGAGAGAGAGAGAGAGAGAGAGGCUGAAGAGCAUGAAUUAUUACGUAUAGAAGCAAGCAACAACAGUGAAGAAAAGAGAAAAAGAAAGAUUAGUGAAAAAGGUGUCUCUUUUGGGUUAUAAUUCUCUCUCCUCCUUUUUAUGUCUGAGUAUUCAUGUAAGAAAUGAGACGCUGUGGAUUCAUCAUCGACUUCCACAAGACAAAGGCCAAGCUGAAAGGGAAUAAC
rnacentral:misc_RNA from 1 species